rnacentral:rRNA from 1 species
UACGGGGGGAGCAAGCGUUGUUCGGAAUUACUGGGCGUAAAGGGCUCGUAGGCGGCCAACUAAGUCGGAUGUGAAAUCCCCAAGCUUAACUUGGGAACUGCAUCCGAUACUGGAUGGCUUGAAUCCGGGAGAGGGAUGCAGAAUUCCAGGUGUAGCGGUGAAAUGCGUAGAUAUCUGGAGGAACACCGGUGGCGAAGGCGGCAUCCUGGACCAAUUCUGACGCUGAUGAGCGAAAGCCAGGGGAGCAAACGGG